UGAGUGGCAGACGGGUGAGUAAUGCGUGGGAAUGUACCUUUUGGUUCGGAAUAACCACGGGAAACUGUGGGUAAUACGGAAUAAGCCCUGCGGGGGAAAGAUUUAUCGCCGAAAGAGCAGCCCACGUUAGAUUAGGUAGUUGGUAGGGUAAAGGCCUACCAAGCCUGCGAUCUAUAGCUGGUCUGAGAGGAUGAUCAGCCACACUGGGACUGAGACACGGCCCAG
rnacentral:rRNA from 1 species